GAUGGUAUAGCUCAGCAGUAGAGUACAUGCUUAGAAUGCACAGGUUCUGGGUUCAAUCCCCAGUACCUCUA
rnacentral:tRNA from 1 species